GGGGAAUUUUGGACAAUGGGCGCAAGCCUGAUCCAGCAAUGCCGCGUGCAGGAUGAAGGCCUUCGGGUUGUAAACUGCUUUUGUACGGAGCGAAAAGGCUCUCUCUAAUACAGGGGGCUCAUGACGGUACCGUAAGAAUAAGCACCGGCUAACUACGUGCCAGCAGCCGCGGUAAUACGUAGGGUGCGAGCGUUAAUCGGAAUUACUGGGCGUAAAGCGUGCGCAGGCGGUUAUGUAAGACAGAUGUGAAAUCCCCGGGCUCAACCUGGGACCUGCAUUUGUGACUGCAUAGCUAGAGUGCGGCAGAGGGGGAUGGAAUUCCGCGUGUAGCAGUGAAAUGCGUAGAUAUGCGGAGGAACACCGAUGGCGAAGGCAAUCCCCUGGGCCUGCACUGACGCUCAUGCACGAAAGCGUGGGGAGCAAACAGGA
rnacentral:rRNA from 1 species